rnacentral:rRNA from 1 species
GGUAACGGGGAAUCAGGGUUCAAUUCCGGAGAGGGAGCCUGAGAAAUGGCUACCACAUCCAAGGAUGGCAGCAGGCGCGCAAAUUACCCACUCCCAGCUUGGGGAGGUAGUGACGAAAAAUAACAAUGCGGGACUCUAAGAGGCCCCGUAAUUGGAAUGAGUACACCUUAAAUCGUUUAACGAGUAUCAAUUGGAGGGCAAGUCUGGUGCCAGCAGCCGCGGUAAUUCCAGCUCCAAUAGCGUAUAUUAAAGUUGCUGCAGUUAAAAAGCUCGUAGUUGGAUCUGGGGCUUGAGGUCGCUGUCUAUCGUUUCGGCGAUGACGGUGAUGCUCAGCUCUGCUUGCCGGUGACUGUUGCGGUGUUCUUCACUGAGCGCUGUAGCAGCACGGCACGUUUACUUUGAAAAAAUUAGAGUGCUCAAAGCGUGCUUGUCGCUUGAAUAAUGUUGCAUGGAAUAAUGGAAUAGGACCUCGGUUCUAUUUUGUUGGUUUUCGGAGCUUGAGGUAAUGAUUAAGAGGGACGAACGGGGGCAUUCGUAUUGCGGUGUUAGAGGUGAAAUUCUUGGAUCGCCGCAAGACGGACUACUGCGAAAGCAUUUGCCAAGAACGCUUUCAUUAAUUAAGAACGAAAGUCAGAGGUUCGAAGACGAUCAGACACCGUCCUAGUUCUGACCAUAAACGAUGCCGACCAGCGAUCCGUAGUGGUUGCUUUAUGGACCCUACGGGCAGCCUCCGGGAAACCAAAGUAUUUGGGUUCCGGGGGAAGUAUGGUUGCAAAGCUGAAACUUAAAGGAAUUGACGGAAGGGCACACCAGGAGUGGAGCCUGCGGCUUAAUUUGGCUCAACACGGGAAAACUCACCCGGUCCGGACACCGUAAGGAUUGACAGACUGAUAGCCCUUUCUUGAUUCGGUGGAUGGUGGUGCAUGGCCGUUCUUAGUUGGUGGAGUGAUUUGUCUGGUUAAUUCCGAUAACGAACGAGACUCUAGCCUGCUAAGUAGUGUUGCUAUUGUUAUAUGGUUGACACUUCUUAGAGGGACGAGUGGCAUUUAGCCACGCGAAAUUGAGCAAUAACAGGUCUGUGAUGCCCUUAGAUGUCCGGGGCCGCACGCGCGCUACACUGGAGAAGUCAGCGUGUGUUAUCCAAGUCCGAAAGGACUGGGUAAUCCGUUGAACCUUCUUCGUGCUUGGGACUGUGGCUUGGAACUAUUCCACAUAAACGAGGAAUUCCUAGUAAUUGCAAGUCAUAAGCUUGCGUUGAUUACGUCCCUGCCCUUUGUACACACCGCCCGUCGCUACUACCGAUUGAAUGGUUUAGCAAGGUCCUCGGAUCGUGGCCGUAGGGGCACGCAAGUGUUUCUGCGGUUUGCGAGAAGACGACCAAACUUGAUCAUUUAGAGGAAGUAAAAGUCGUAACAAGGUU